GCGGGAACUUGAGCAGUACUGGCAGCUCGCUGACUGGUGAAAAGCAGUGGUCGGUUCCGCCCUGAGGGUCUCCACAAGGCUGCAGAGAUCGGGGCUUCUCCUUUGCUCCCCAUCCUCGAGCAGACGCCAGCUUGGUUAAUGACGGGUUUACUUGGCCUUUUCAUAAUUAUCAUCCACCGGAAGUGCUGCUGCAGCUGCUGAGGACGCUCGGGGCAGUGCCGCUGCCCUGCAGCCCUGUAGACCUGAGCAGGACCUGCGCCCUCCGGGGGCCUGGCAGGAGGAUGAGGCAGUCUGAGUUCAGAACCGCCGCCCUGCACGUGGGGAGGGUGCUGCACAGGGUCCUCACCCUCAAAGCUUUGUUUUCUCAGCUGUGAUAAGACUUAGAAACCAGUGCCAUCAUCGGGGUUGCUGUGAGAAAAAGGAAUUCAUAUAAAAAUGGUAGGAACUGUGCUUGA